rnacentral:rRNA from 1 species
UACAGAGGUCCCAAGCGUUGUUCGGAUUCACUGGGCGUAAAGGGUGCGUAGGCGGUCGGGUAAGUCUGGCGUGAAAUCUCCAAGCCUAACUUGAAAACUGCGUUGGAUACUAUCCGGCUCGAGGAAUGGAGGGGAGACUGGAAUACUUGGUGUAGCAGUGAAAUGCGUAGAUAUCAAGUGGAACACCAGUGGCGAAGGCGAGUCUCUGGACAUUUCCUGACGCUGAGGCACGAAAGCCAGGGGAGCAAACGGG